CUUAAGGUGGUACCCAACACCUUCACUUAAAUUAAUUUGGCUCGUUUAAUUUUCAUAAAAUUUUGACAAAGUAUUUACUUUGACCCUUUAACAAAAAUGUAAAAAUUUCAAAAAAUUUGAACCAACCAAUUGAUCAGAAAAAAUACACUGGUUUAUAUAGCAAUUUGACAAACACCAAUUUUAAUCAUUGAGAAGCUUAAUAUCCCUUUUACAACACAAAGUAAUUAAAACGUUUAGCUAACUUUACAGAGU
rnacentral:lncRNA from 1 species